CAACGCGAAAACCUUACCUACCCUUGACAUGUCCGGAAUCCUGCAGAGAUGCGGAGUGCCGAAAGGGAAUCGGAACACAGGUGCUGCAUGGCUGUCGUCAGCUCGUGUCGUGAGAUGUUGGGUUAAGUCCCGCAACGAGCGCAACCCUUAUCUUUAAUUGCCAUCAUUGAGUUGGGCACUUUAAAGAGACUGCCGGUGUUAAACCGGAGGAAGGUGGGGAUGACGUCAAGUCCUCAUGGCCCUUAUGUCCAGGGCUACACACGUGCUACAAUGGUCGGUACAAAGGGUUGCGAUCCCGCGAGGGUGAGCCAAUCCCAAAAAGCCGGCCCCAGUACAGAUAGGAGUCUGCAACUCGACUCCUUGAAGGCGGAAUCGCUAGUAAUCGCUGAUCAGCUGGCAGCGGUGAAUACGUUCCCGGGCCUU
rnacentral:rRNA from 1 species